rnacentral:rRNA from 1 species
UACGUAGGCAGCAAGCGUUGUUCGGAAUUACUGGGCGUAAAGCGUGCGCAGGCGGUUUGUUAAGUCUGCUGUGAAAUCCCCGAGCUCAACUUGGGAAUUGCAGUGGAUACUGGCAGGCUGGAGUAUGGUAGAGGAAGGUGGAAUUCCCGGUGUAGCAGUGAAAUGCGUAGAGAUCGGGAGGAACACCAGUGGCGAAGGCGGCCUUCUGGACCAAUACUGACGCUCAUGCACGAAAGCGUGGGGAGCAAACAGG